rnacentral:tRNA from 1 species
GCGAUGUAGGCGGUCGGGAUCGCGGCGGCCUGGCGCGCCGCGAGGCGCGUGACCGUCAGCGCGUUGAUCGCGGCGGCGUCGCCGCC